GUAAAAUAAAUCGGAAAGUCCCAGUAGCUGGCCGUAUACCAUAGAUUAAAAACUCAUACAGAAGUACAAAACUUCAAUUUGUAUAUUUGUAUAAAAUAUUUUAUUAAAAAAUUUCUUAAAAUAUCAUCCAAAUGGAUUUGCAAACCGAUUUAGAUAUAAAUUAGAUUAUCUUCAGUGCCUAGAAUGAAGUAUUUCCACGUUAGAUUAAAGCAAAGGUUAAAAUUGUGACUGUUAAUAAGAAAAACCAUGUGUCAACAUUGCCAGUUCAAUGAAAAUAUUAUAUUAAACCAGCUAAAAAGGGGAUGUGCGACAGACCGCAAGUUUUUAGUAUACUAAACACUAAAACAAUAUCGAGCAUUCUCGAUCAAUCAGUCACAUUUAUUUAAACAUGCAUUCUAAAAUACUCUUCUAUUAAUUUUGUAAUUUUCCAUCAUCUCAAAUAAAUAGGUACCCA
rnacentral:lncRNA from 1 species